rnacentral:rRNA from 1 species
UACGUAGGUGGCAAGCGUUGUCCGGAUUUACUGGGCGUAAAGAGCGCGCAGGCGGUCAGAUAAGUCGAAUGUGAAAGCCCCCGGCUCAACUGGGGAGGGUCACGCGAUACUGAUCGACUCGAAGGCAGGAGAGGGUAGUGGAAUUCCCGGUGUAGUGGUGAAAUGCGUAGAGAUGCGGAGGAACACCGAUGGCGAAGGCAGCCCCCUGGGCUGACACUGACGCUCAGGCACGAAAGCGUGGGGAGCAAACAGG